rnacentral:piRNA from 1 species
UACUGUCUUGCAAGGCCCUGGUGGUGAG